UAGUUGGCGUUUGAACAUGAGGUCUUUAUGACUUCAUGACUUGGUGUUUGAACAUGAGGUCUUAUCACUUCAAGUUGUUGGAAGUUGUGCCCAACAGGGCCCUCUGAGCUAAACAAGUCUUAUAACUUUGAGUUUCCCAAACUUCCAUAAAUCAGAUUAUUUCUAAAACCCAGAUUGUUCUAGUAAUACUGGAUGACAUAUUCAGAGCUGUAGUGCACACUUCAUGAUGUUCAACAAGAUUGACACUUGGCCAUCGUUAAACUACAGGCUGGAGCACAACAUUCUCUCCCCUGCUGAUAAAUCGCAACACUUAAUGGAGAGGACACUUAGGAACUGGGCUGGAAUGAGGAGCUGAUUGUCCCAUUAUGGUACGCAGACUCUGGACCAAGGGAAAGAGGCAAAUCAGAGGAUAAUCUCAGGAUGAUAGGUUCACUGGCUGUGAAGGAAUGGAGUGUAUCCUCAGCUUUAACUGGUGUUAACAGUACAUUAAAAGGAGAACUUCAACAAGGAGCAUGGGGGAAGACAAGCAGCAAAAAGGAGUACUGUUAUGCUGGGUUCCAACCUGGAAUUGGGCAAUUUUGUUUGAGGAAGCAAUGAAACCUUUCAAGUAUUUGAGGCACUAGGUGCUCCUGACAGGAUGUCUAGAACUUGCUGUAAGCGCCAUUCUGGUCCUACAGGUUUGCUAUUUGAACUUCAUUUGCUGAUAUCUUUGCUUUAAUUAUACUUUUUUCAUACAAUAAUUUCAAGAGCUGUGUGAAUUUGCACUAGUUGAGAAUCUGACCCACACAUCUGUGUUGCAUAAACAUCUUUACAGAACUUUAAAAUUUGACUUUUUUAAUAAACAGUUUUUCCAAAUGCAAAAAACUAUUGAUUAUAUCUUUGUAAUGAUAUUGUCGACUUACAGCUGAAUUUAUUGACCUUUUAUUUCUUGGGAAGUAUCAAUUAUGAGUUUUAGAAGAGAUUUUAGCUUCUCUUCCAAAAUAAACUGCUCUGCUAAAAUGGCCCUGGUAUAAUUAUUAUGAUCACUUCUUUAACUUAACUUUCCCUUAUGUUUUGUGAGAGGCAUUUGUCUUACUGAGAUUUUUUUCAAAAUAGUGUUGCACAUGUU